GAUCAUGGCUCAGGAUGAACGCUAGCUACAGGCUUAACACAUGCAAGUCGGAGGGGCAUCAGGAAGAAAGCUUGCUUUCUUUGCUGGCGACCGGCGCACGGGUGAGUAACACGUAUCCAACCUGCCCUUUACUCGGGGAUAGCCUUUCGAAAGAAAGAUUAAUACCCGAUGGCAUAAUGAUUCCGCAUGGUUUCAUUAUUAAAGGAUUCCGGUAAAGGAUGGGGUAUACGUUCCAUUAGGUUGGUUGGUGAGG
rnacentral:rRNA from 1 species